GGACCCGUAGCCAAGCGGUUAGGCAGUGGCCUGCAAAGCCAUCUAGGGCGGUUCGACUCCGCCCGGGUCCUC
rnacentral:tRNA from 1 species